rnacentral:tRNA from 1 species
CGGGAUGUAGCGCAGUGGUAGCGCAUCAGUUUUGGGAACUGAGGGUCGCUGGUUCAAGUCCAGUCAUCCCGA